AAGACCUUGCACUUUGGAGCGGCCGAUGUCUGAUUAGCUAGUUGGUGGGGUAAUGGCCUACCAAAGCGUCGAUCAGUAGCUGGUCUGAGAGGACGGCCAGCCACACUGGGACUGAGACACGGCCCAGACUCCUACGGGAGGCAGCAGUGGGGAAUUUUGGACAAUGGGCGCAAGCCUGAUCCAGCCAUGCCGCGUGAGUGAAGAAGGCCUUCGGGUUGUAAAGCUCUUUCAGCCGGGAAGAAAAGGUUGCGAUUAAUAAUCGCAAUUUAUGACGGUACCGGAAGAAGAAGCACCGGCUAACUACGUGCCAGCAGCCGCGGUAAUACGUAGGGUGCGAGCGUUAAUCGGAAUUACUGGGCGUAAAGGGUGCGCAGGCGGUUUUGUAAGUCAGAUGUGAGMUCCCCGGGCUUAACCUGGGAACU
rnacentral:rRNA from 1 species